CUAAUUUCUGCUACCUGAACAGAGAACACAACACAGAUAGGCUGUCUCUGUUAGCAGCCUCACCAAAUGGAAAGUUCAGUCACAUAUCUUUUCUCAGUUCAGACUUUAAGUGCUCCCUCAGUAAGGUGAGUUUAAUUCUUGCUUUUCUCCAACACCGACUGAUGUACUCUCCAUUCACUGAAGAAAAGUUUGCACUUGUUUCAGUUCUCAGAAUUGAGGGGAGACCCAGCUGCGAAGAUACAAUAAGAUUUCACUCAGUUGGUUUGUUCUGUGCUCAAAUUAAAGUUAGACCUUGUGCACAGAUGGUAGGGUUUAAAACUCAGCAGGCAGCAGUUGUCCCAUCAAACAACUCAGUGAUCACCAAGGAGUUUCCUCGUUAAAGAUGUGACCUAUUAAAGCUUGGCUCAGGUUAACAGUUCUGGUUCUAAUGUAAACAGAUCCUGAUAGAGCUGGAGACGGCCUUACUGGAUGACAAACCCCACUGGUACCCUCUUCAGACCCAUGAUGUCUUAUCCAUCCCACUGCCUCAACCCUCCCCCUACCUGCCCCGACGACACACAGACACAUCGGGAAAGAAGCUGCAGCGUUCUCAGCGUGUUACAGAGCCUGACUUUGGUGAGGGUACAGCAGUAAUUUCUAAAGCUGACAGUCGAGGCAGGGAGAGGCAGCGGGAGUCCACGUCCACCCUGGAGGUGCCUGAGCAACAGCGAAUGACCUCCCAUCACAUCCGGUCACGAUCGGUUUCGCCGCACCGUGAGGAGCAGGGUCGCACCCGGUCCCGAGCACCCUACAUCCCUGCCCAGAGGAGUUUGGACGAUGAGCUUCCACACACUCGCCGUUCUCGUUCUCCAAACCGUUACUACGAUGCAGGGAGAGGCGGCCGCCAGAGGGAGGAGUACCUGGAUGACAGUGAGUUCAUCACGCUUCACCAAUCAAUGCGAGGCAAAAGUGCUGAGUGCCUGCACACCAGUGAUCUGCAGCCUUCUCUGGACAGGGUUAGGAGCAUUAGCACCAACUGUCUGACUCCAAACAAUCAUGCCCCCUCACCAGAGACUGAAAGAAAAUCUUUGUCCCAUUCCCUGCCUCGACAACGCCCGGCAAGUCCCAGGAUUCUUAUCCAACACGCUUCCCCGGAAGACGACAGGGGUCACCUACCAAGUGGUGCGUCUCUGUCCGCGGUGGCGGCGGCAUCUUCGGCGGCACGCAGGGCGAGGCAGCUACCCCAGCUUCCACCUCAGAGCAGCUCUGUAGAACAAGCCCUGGUAGCAGAGGAGCGGGUUCGUCAGCUCCAAAUGAGGGUUCAUUCUAAUCGGACCACAGCUGUCUCCACAACCAGCCAGCAGGACCUGGACCGAGCCCUCAAGAACAAACGAGAGCUUUAUAAGGACCAGAGGAGGAGUAGUGAAAAUGUUUCCCAUAAGUCCUCAGACAGUGAUGUCAGCGAUGUGUCAGCCAUCUCUCGAACCAGCAGUGCCUCUCGCAUCAGUAGCACCAGCUACAUGUCAAUCCAGUCAGAGAGACCCAGGGGACGCUUCAGCCGAGCUAUGCGGGCAUCAGGCAGACACAUAAUGAAGAGCACCAGUGUGAGCGGUGAGAUCUAUGGCAUGGAACAUGCUGACGGUAGCCAGUCAGACACGGCGCUCGGCAGCCUGGGAAGCGGGAUCAAAAAACGGCGCUCAAGCCUGAGUCAACGGGUUGUCGCCAUCCUUCCAUCUAGGAGGAGCCGGAGUACGUCACAGCUCAGCCAGACAGAGGCAGCGGGUAAGGCGCCGGACAGACAGAAAGAAGCAUCAGCAGGUAAGAAGAUUAGUAAAGCCGGCAGCAGCAGCAUCCAGAGGAGUGUGGAGACGGGCAUGGCAGUGGAGUAUCCACGAGGAGGAUCCGCCAUGAACCGGCAGGCCAGCAGGGAGUCCACUGAUGGAAGCAUGAACAGCUACAGCUCUGAGGGGAAUUUGAUCUUCUCGGGGAUGCGUUUGGGGGCUGACAGUCAGUUCAGUGACUUCUUGGAUGGACUAGGUCCUGGUCAGCUGGUUGGCCGACAAACGCUGGCAACACCUGCCAUGGGUGAUGUUCAGAUUGGUUUAAUGGAUAAAAAAGGGCAACUGGAGGUGGAGGUGAUUAGGGCCCGAGGCCUUACCCCCAAACCAGGCUCCAAAUCCCUCCCAGCUCCGUAUGUCAAAGUGUAUCUCCUAGAAAAUGGAACAUGUAAAGCCAAAAAGAAAACCAAGAUUGCACGUAAGACCCUGGAGCCGCUCUACCAGCAGCACCUCCUCUUUGAGGAGAGUCCCCAGUGCAAAGUUCUUCAGGUGAUAGUUUGGGGUGACUAUGGACGACUGGAUCACAAAUGUUUCAUGGGUGUAGCACAGAUCCUGUUGGAGGAGCUGGACCUCUCAAGCACGGUGAUUGGCUGGUACAAGCUGUUUCCACCAUCUUCACUGGUGGACCCUACAUUAGCUCCUCUCACACGGCUGGCGUCUCAGACGUCACUGGACACCUCAGGACCGCCGCCUGGCAUCAGGUCCUAGUGACCAACAGGUGGCUGCCUACCCUGGAUGCCCCUGAAAUAAUCUGAAAAUGGACCACAGUUACUGGACCACACAGGAGCAGAGGGCUCAAACAAGGCAAUGAUACGCCUUCCAUCACAACCAGUGAAAAGCCAGAUGGAAAGACAGGGAAAGACUGAGAAGAAUGAGAGGGAGAGACAGAAGUAGCCAAUCCAAGCUUAGCUGAGUCUGACAAUCAUAUCUCACACCUUCCACCCUCCAUGUUCGUUCUCAACGUGGUGCUUUCUUUGUUUUUCUGCUCUAAGCUUCAGCUGUGGACGUUUUUGUCCCACAAGCUUCACUUUUCUGCAUCAGAUCUUUAAUGUGUCCCAAUCAGAAUGCCUGAACCAAGUUCACCCAGAUCCAGCCCUUCAGAGGGGAGCAUCGACACAGGCGCAGUCAGGAAGAGGCUGCUGUGUUUGAUGACCAGCUGUCAUAGAUGAGGACUAGGUGUUGCAGUUUAGUGAAGUCUGAGCAAAGGAGGCUGCACAUACACGUGCUCACUCUCAGCCUAAAAGUGAAAGGAAGCACAAAAAAUGUUGUCAUAGAGAAAAAAAAUCACAGUGUGAACACAGGAGAAAAAGCAGGUCGAAUGGAUCAUCAGCCUUGUCUGUUUUAUUUUGGGUCACGUGUUCUGUUUGAUUUCACAGGUCCGAUUGGUACCUCAAAAUCCAGAUUCCGCUGUCUUUGGGUAGGUUUAGUUUUUGAGCAAGGCUGUGCAAAAAGGCAGAGUGUAAAGUUUGGGUCACUGGGCUCUAAGACCCCUCCACCCAACCCUUACCCCCUACCCCCACUGACUUCAACCCCCCCACCCACCCACCAGCCCUGUUGGAGGGAGCAGCAUGACUCGGGGAAACCCUGGCCCGGCCCCAAGCUGCAUGCACAUUUCUUUUGUUCUUUUUUUGUUUGUUUGUUUUGUUCUGUUCUCUGCUUUUUUUGUAAAGUUAAAAAGAGACAAACUAAUGAGCAAUUCUCAAAACGCAAAAGCAGAAAAAAAGGCUAGACUACAUGUGUUAGUUCACACACUUUUAGGUCAGCUUGUAUGUUGCAUGUUCCUGUACAGUUUGCUUGUACUGAAUAUGAAUCCAGAGAAAAGUCAAGCCAGCCCCGCCUCUGACAGCAGUGGACCAAUAGGGGAUCAACUGCACACAGACCACGCCCACCACUCCAGGUCAAAGUCUCUGUAUUAAAAGGUGUCCAGAUAAGCUGGAGAAGGUUCUCAGUCAUCCAGGUCAUGGUGGUCCAAAAAGGUUCAAAUGAAGGCAACUGGACUUCUUUGGUUUCUUGAAGACGUUUCACUUCUCUUCCGAGGAGCUUUGUCAGUUCUGACUGUAAUAUGGGAGAGUCAAACUUAUUCCAGUCAGAAUUGACAAAGCUCCUCGGAUAAGAGGCGAAAUGCCUUCAAGACACCAAAGAUGUCCAGUUGCCUUCAAUUGAACCCUUUGGAUUGUCCAGAAUGAGUGUUGAGCUUUAGCUUAAAACCCAAGCAACAGAGCAGGGGCCUCAUUUAUACAACUUUCCAUUGAAUUCUUACUACUUAGGUUUAGCAACAAAAAAAAAAUCCGUAAAUUAAUUUUCCGACCUAUAAAACACCAGUUGAUGCAUAGCUGCUGUGGUUUCUGCUUUUAAAAUCACACCUGUCCUAGAAAUGUUUUCAGGUAUUUUCAGAUCACAUCCAGCCUCCUACACACCCACUUUCUGCCAUAAAUGGACAACGCUGACUACGCAAUGAUUAUUGUACAUAUAAGUAAACCUGGGUCGUUUCUCCCAAAUAUGCCAGUAUGUUCUUGUGUACUUGUCAAGUACACUCUUUGCAAGUACAGCAGAAAGUCCAUUCUACCGAGUAUGGGAGGACAAGAAGAGCAUUUGGAGCAGCACUGUACUCCGCUAUGGCAUGGUAACAAGCAGUGCUUUACAGAGGUGUGGACUCGAGUCACAUGACUUGGACUUGAGUCAUUAUUUUAAUGACUUCUGACAUGACUUGAUAAAUCUAUAAAGACUUACGACUUGGCAUGGGCUUGAAUGCAAAUGACUUGCGACUUGAAUCGACUUGCAUCUGUUGACUUGAUGAUGACUUGAGCAUAUUUGAUAUUUUAGCACAAAAGUGGCACGACAUGGACAAAAAUCAUUCCUCGUUCUGGGUUUGAUCUUGUACGGCUAAAUGCAGCAGCACUUUCUGCUGUUGGAGCAAAUGAAUGAAGUUAAAGAAGAUUUAUUUCUGCUAUUUAUUUAUUAUCAUCGUCAUUAAAUUGAAGUUGGACAGGUGACUUGACUAUGACUUGAAAAUUCAAAGUUAAGGACUUGGACUUGACUUGGACUUCCACAUCAUUGACUUUGGACUCGACUUUGACUUGAUUGUUUUUGACUUGGACUUGACUGGAAAGACUUGUGACUUACUUGUGACUUGCAAAGCAGUGACUUGGUCCCACCUCUGGUGCUUUAUUUUGAUAGGUUAGCUAAUUACUAUGAUGUAAAAACUACAGUUUUGAGCUUUCUGCCUUUUUUCAUUUGAAAUAUAACAUUUUGCAACACAACAUAUGAUGCAAUAUUUUUCUGUCCCAAGUUUGCUGAUGGUGCACUGAUGCAUCCUCGAUGCAAUGGGCUGACAAAAACACAUCUGAGAGUACUUUUCAGAAUGGAUACUUAGUAUUGGAACAGGACUUGGGCCAACGUUGAUGACGUUUCACAUGUUCGCGAGUGCACAAGUCCAGACAAGUACGAAUGAUUAUCAACUGCAUGUCACGGGUAAACAUGACAACCAAGAUGGAAAUCCAGGCUCUGGAGUGUGAUGUAGGCCCUGAAACUUUUUUAUUCCGUUCGAGUGGCACCGUGCUGCCACAGCAGUGGAAUCGCAUUGGGAAUAAAAAAAAAUCAAAACAUAAAGAAGUGUUCAGAUGGAGCCUCAGAUAACAGUCAUCAAAGAUGCCUUCAAUAAAAGCGGCACUAUGACGCACGGCGAUCGCUGAGAUGUUCCAGAUAUAAAGGGAACGUUUAAUUAAAACUUUUAAUUUCAUCCCAAAGGGCUUCACGAAGAAAACUUGUUCAUCAUAUCAAACAAAUUUCAGCCUGUUGUCUAAAUCCCGCCGGAGCAAGCUGGUUUAAGGAAACCCAACAGCUGUCAUGCGGAGUUUUAGUUUACAUUUUUAUUCACGGACACGCUGCGGCACAUAAACACAAUUAAUAAACCAAAAAGUCAUUUGGAGACCUAUGAAAGUAAUGUUUUAAAGAUAAUAUAUUUUAAAUACAGAUGUAAUUUUUAUUGUUGGCUUUGUGAGCGUGUGCACAAGGGUCUCCAAACCUGUAAAUGUGUCCUAAGCAUUUCAUCAUCUUACUGGCUGUGUUGCAGGUUUCCCGUCUCCAAAAUGUGCUCGUGCCAGUCCAAAGUUUGCUUAAAGUUGCCACAUUUUUCCAUUAACUUUGUUUUUAUGAAUAAAGUUGGAGCAAAAGUCACUUACGCCAUUUUCAGACUUAUACGUGAGGCCCCUGUUCUGUAGAGCUGAGCCCCAGAGCACCACAGCACACAGGUGGAGGCAGCUGCAGGUGGAGAUGGAUGCAGUUGGAGGCAGCUGCAGGUGGAGAUGGGGGCAGCUGGAGGUAGAGGCAGCUGUGGGGUGAGAUGGAUGCAGGUGGAGGCAGCUGCAGGUGGAGAUGGAUGCAGUUGGAGGCAGCUGUAGGUGGAGGCAGCUGCAGGUGGAGAUGGAUGCAGUUGGAGGCAGCUGCAGGUGGAGAUGGAUGCAGCUGCAGGUGGAGGCAGCUGCAGGUGGAGAUGGAUGCAGGUGGAGGCAGCUGCAGGUGGAGGCAACUGCAGGUGGAGGCAGCUGCAGGUGGAGAUGGAUGCAGUUGGAGGCAGCUGCAUGUGGAGAUGGAUGCAGUUGGAGGCAGCUGUAGGUGGAGAUGGAUGCAGUUGGGUACAGCUGCAGGUGGAGGCAACUGCAGGUGGAGGCAGCUGCAGGUGGAGAUGGAUGCAGUUGGAGGCAGCUGCAUGUGGAGAUGGAUGCAGUUGGAGGCAGCUGCAGGUGGAGAUGGAUGCAGUUGGGUACAGCUGCAGGUGGAGAUGGAUGCAGGUGGAGGCAGCUGCAGGUGGAGGCAACUGCAGGUGGAGAUGGAUGCAGGUGGAGGCAACUGCAGGUGGAGGCAACUGCAGGUGGAGAUGGAUGCAGGUGGAGGCAGCUGCAGG